rnacentral:tRNA from 1 species
GCGGAUGUGGCGGAAUUGGUAUACGCGCACGUUUGAGGGGCGUGUGGUUCGUCCUUGCGAGUUCGAGUCUCGCCAUCCGCA